GUAGGGGGCAAGCGUUAUCCGGAUUUACUGGGUGUAAAGGGAGCGUAGACGGUGCAGCAAGUCUGAUGUGAAAGGUCGGGGCCCAACCCCGGGACUGCAUUGGAAACUGUUGAACUGGAGUACAGGAGAGGUAAGCGGAAUUCCUAGUGUAGCGGUGAAAUGCGUAGAUAUUAGGAGGAACACCAGUGGCGAAGGCGGCUUACUGGACUGUAACUGACGUUGAGGCUCGAAAGCGUGGGGAGCAAAC
rnacentral:rRNA from 1 species